UCAUUAUAACUCUCAAGCUUGGCUUGUUAUUGGGGCCGUGUCGUUUCUAAAAGACAGCCCUUAAAUUGAGUGGCGGAGUCGGGUUAGACCGGCAGUGUAACGAGCUGUCAAGGCACGCACUGCUGAACUACAUGGCCUAGCCUUGUCCCUAAAAUUUUCAGGUUGACCUCGGAUCAGGUAGGAAUACCCGCUGAACUUAA
rnacentral:misc_RNA from 1 species